AUGACGGCUUCCGCCAGUGACACCCGCCUGGAGCCUCCCAGCUUCAGCAACAUCGUCCUCUACGUCCUCCCACCCAACAUGGCCGACCUCUACAUCACCCGUAACCCCAAAGUCCGUUGUUUGGCCACCAACUUGCCGAGCGAUUCCGGUUUCCAACUCUUCUGGAUCAAGGAGAAACCGGGUGUCCUCAAUCCCGAUUUCCUGGAUCUCCAAGAACAAUUUAACGGCACCUACACGGCCACCAGCACCUUGACCAUCUCCACCCAAGACUGGGAAGCCGGCGAACGGUUCACCUGCAUGGUGAAACACGACGAACUCCAGUUGCCGCUCAACAAGAGCAUCUCCAGACGGUCAGGCAAGGUCUCCCCGCCUCUCAUCUUCGUCUUCCCGCCUCACGCCGAGGAGAUGACUCAAGCCAAAGUCACCCUCACUUGCAUGGUUUACGGUUUCCAACCGGAGAACAUCCAGGUCCAAUGGUUGAAGAACCACGAGAACGUCGGCGAAGACCAUUACGUCACCACCCCGCCGCUGAAGGACGGGCCGAAGGAGAGCACCUUCUUCGUCUACAGCAAGAUGACGGUCCCCAAAACCAGUUGGUUGGGCGGCGACAUCUACACCUGCAUGGUGGUUCACGAAGGGUUGCCCAUGAGGUUCACCCAACGGCAGAUGCAGAAGGGUCCCGGUAAUUAA